UACGAAGGGGGCUAGCGUUGUUCGGAAUUACUGGGCGUAAAGCGCACGUAGGCGGAUACUUAAGUCAGGGGUGAAAUCCCGGGGCUCAACCCCGGAACUGCCUUUGAUACUGGGUAUCUCGAGUCCGGAAGAGGUGAGUGGAAUUCCGAGUGUAGAGGUGAAAUUCGUAGAUAUUCGCAAGAACACCAGUGGCGAAGGCGGCUCACUGGUCCGGUACUGACGCUGAGGUGCGAAAGCGUGGGGAGCAAACAGG
rnacentral:rRNA from 1 species